rnacentral:rRNA from 1 species
AACGAACGCUGGCGGCAUGCCUAACACAUGCAAGUCGAACGAGACCUUCGGGUCUAGUGGCGCACGGGUGCGUAACGCGUGGGAAUCUGCCCUUGGGUUCGGAAUAACUCAGAGAAAUUUGAGCUAAUACCGGAUGAUGACGAAAGUCCAAAGAUUUAUCGCCCAGGGAUGAGCCCGCGUAAGAUUAGCUUGUUGGUGGGGUAAUGGCACACCAAGGCGACGAUCGUUAGCUGGUCUGAGAGGAUGAUCAGCCACACUGGGACUGAGGCACGGCCCAGACUCCUCCGGGAGGCAGCAGUGGGGAAGAUUGGACAAUGGGCUAAAGCCCGAUCCAGCAAUGCCGCGUGAGUGAUGAAGGCCUUAGGGUUGUAAAGCUCUUUUACCAGGGAUGAUAAUGACAGUACCUGGAGAAUAAGCUCCGGCUAACUCCGUGCCAGCAGCCGCCGUAAAAC